GACGAACGCUGGCGGCGUGCUUAACACAUGCAAGUCGAACGGAAAGGCCCUGCUUUUGUGGGGUGCUCGAGUGGCGAACGGGUGAGUAACACGUGAGUAACCUGCCCUUGACUUUGGGAUAACUUCAGGAAACUGGGGCUAAUACCGGAUAGGAGCACCUGCUGCAUGGUGGGGGUUGGAAAGUUUCGGCGGUUGGGGAUGGACUCGCGGCUUAUCAGCUUGUUGGUGGGGUAGUGGAUUACCAAGGGUUUGACGGGUAGCCGGCCUGAGAGGUUGACCGGCAACACUGCGACUGCGAUCCGGACCAGACUCAUACGAGAAGAAGGAGUCGCGAAUAAUGGACUAAGGGCGGAAUCCAGCUGCAUAAACGCCGCGAGCGGGAUGGAGGCAGUAGGGGUAUAAACCGCUUUCGCCUGUAACGAAGGGUGUGGGGCGGUAAUGGGUAAAGAAGCACCGGCUAACUACGUG
rnacentral:rRNA from 1 species